rnacentral:miRNA from 1 species
AUAUACAAUGAGAGAUAUGAAAAAUUGUGUUCUAUACAUGAAAUAAGAAUUGUAAUGCUUCUGCUGUCAUUUCUUUAAAAAAAUCGAUAGAAAUAUGAAAAAAUUGUUCAUAAAUUAUAUACAUUAUAUAUAUAUAUAUAUAUAUAUAUAUAUAUAAUGUAUAUAAUUUAUGAACAAUUUUUUCAUAUUUCUAUCGAUUUUUUUAAAGAAAUGACAGCAGAAGCAUUACAAUUCUUAUUUCAUGUAUAGAACACAAUUUUUCAUAUCUCUCGUUGUAUAU